UAGUCCACGCCCUAAACGAUGUAUGCUAGACGUCGGGAGACUUGUCUUUCGGUGUCGCCGCUAACGCAUUAAGCAUACCGCCUGGGGAGUACGGUCGCAAGAUUAAAACUCAAAGAAAUUGACGGGGGCCCGCACAAGCGGUGGAGCAUGUGGUUUAAUUCGAAGCAACGCGCAGAACCUUACCUACCCUUGACAUGCCGGUCGCGAUUUCCAGAGAUGGAUUUCUUCAAUUCGGUUGGACCGUGCACAGGUGCUGCAUGGUUGUCGUCAGCUCGUGUCGUGAGAUGUUGGGUUAAGUCCCGCAACGAGCGCAACCCUCACUUUUAGUUGCCAGCAUUUAGUUGGGCACUCUGGAAGAACUGCCGGUGCUAAGCCGGAGGAAGGUGGGGAUGACGUCAAGUCCUCAUGGCCCUUACGGGUAGGGCUACACACGUGCUACAAUGGCGCUGACAGAGGGUUAAUCCCUAAAAGGCGUCUCAGUUCGGAUUGUCCUCUGCAACUCGAGGGCA
rnacentral:rRNA from 1 species